CUGAGAAUCCCUUUAAGCAGUUUAUCCAAUACAGGGAUGGCCAACAGACAGAUCCCCAGCUGUUAAAAAAAAUAAACCCAUGACCCAUUAUACUUUGCCAGCCUUAGGCCUGCAUGUUCCUGUAAUGAGAAAGUUACUUAUUUGAAAUCCCAUUUACAUUGAAUACACCAUAUAUCACUAAGAUACACCGUGUAUUAAAUGUAAACUAUAUUGAUUUACCCACCUUUCCUCCAUUCUAGCACAGCUUUAAUUGGCGUUAUUCU